rnacentral:tRNA from 1 species
GGACAGGUGGCUGAGUGGUUGAAAGCACCGGUCUCGAAAACCGGCGUACCCGCAAGGGUAUCGUGAGUUCGAAUCUCACCCUGUCCG